rnacentral:rRNA from 1 species
UUAUUAAGAGUUUGAUCCUGGCUCAGGACGAACGUUGGCGGCGUGUUUAAGGCAUGCAAGUCGAACGAUCUCAUAUCAUUUAUGGUGUGAGAGAGUGGCAAACGGGAGAGGAGCGCAUUAGUAACCUACCUUAAGGUCGUGAAUAACUUCACGAAAGUGAAGCUAAUACACGAUGGACAAGGGGGGUCGAAAGACAUUCCCUUGUAAAGCUUCGGCGCCUUAAGAGGGGCUUAUGUCCUAUCAGCUUGUUGGUGAGGUAAUGGCUCACCAAGGCUAUGACGGGUACCGGGCGUGAGAGCGUGACCCGGCUCACUGGGACUGAGACACGGCCCAGACACCUACGGGUGGCUGCAGUCAAGAAUCUUCCGCAAUGGGCGAAAGCCUGACGGAGCGACGCCGCGUGCUGGAUGAAGGCCUUCGGGUCGUAAACAGCUUUUUUUAGGGACGAACAAAUGACGGUACCUAAAGAAUAAGUGGUUGCUAACUCUGUGCCAGCAGCAGCGGUAAUACAGAGACCACAAACGUUGUCCGAAGUUAUUGGGCGUAAAGGGUUCGUAGGCGGCCUAACACGUCAUCUGUUAAAUUUUUGGGCUCAACCCAGAAACCGCUGAUGAUACGAUUAGGCUAGAGGUUGGGAGAGGCACACGGAAUGGCCGGUGUAGGGGUAAAAUCCGUUCAUAUCGGCUAGAACACCAAAGGCGAAGGCAGUGUGCUAGAACAAUUCUGACGCUGAGGGACGAAAGCGUGGGUAGCGAAUGGGAUUAGAUACCCCAGUAGUCCACGCCCUAAACGAUGGAUGCUAGAUAUUGGAAGUAUCGACCCUUCCAGUGUCGUUGAACCAAGUUAACACGUUAAGCAUCCCGCCUGGGGAGUACGAGCGCAAGCUUAAAACUCAAAGGAAUAGACGGGGACCCGCACAAGCGGUGGAGCGCGCGGUUUAAUUCGAUAGUAAGCGAGGAACCUUACCAGGGCUUGAAUCAUAGCUGCACGGCUUAAGAAAUUAGGCCAGCCUUCGAGGGUGCUAUGAAGGUGCUGCAUGGUUGUCGUCAGCUCGUGGCGUGAGCUGUACCCUUAAGUGGGGUAACGAGCGCAACCCC